rnacentral:rRNA from 1 species
UACGUAGGUGGCAAGCGUUGUCCGGAUUUAUUGGGUUUAAAGGGUGCGCAGGCGGCACGGCAAGCCGGCGGUCAAAUCGCGGGGCUCAACCCCGCCCAGCCGUCGGAACUGCCGGGCUAGAGUGGGCGAGAAGUGCGCGGAAUGCGUGGUGUAGCGGUGAAAUGCAUAGAUAUCACGCAGAACUCCGAUUGCGAAGGCAGCGCACCGGCGCCCUACUGACGCUCAGGCACGAAAGCGUGGGUAUCGAACAGG